rnacentral:rRNA from 1 species
GACGAACGCUGGCGGCGGGCUCAACACAUGCAAGUCGAACGAGGUUUGUGUGGGAUUUCUCUCGGGAAUGGAAAUGAAAUUGAAGUGGCGAACGGGUGAGUAACACGUGAGUGACCUACCUUACACAGGGGGAUAGCCGUUGGAGACGACGAUUAAGACCGCAUGAGACUACAGAAUCGCUUGAUAAAGGGGACACAGAUUUAUCGGUGUAAGAAGGGCUCGCGUCUGAUUAGCUAGUUGGAAGGGUAAAGGCCUACCAAGGCGACGAUCAGUAGCCGGUCUGAGAGGAUGAACGGCCACAUUGGAACUGAGACACGGUCCAAACUCCUACGGGAGGCAGCAGUGGGGAAUAUUGCACAAUGGGGGGAACCCUGAUGCAGCGACGCCGCGUGAGCGAAGAAGGUUUUCGAAUCGUAAAGCUCUGUCCUAUGAGAAGAUAAUGACGGUAUCAUAGGAGGAAGCCCCGGCUAAAUACGUG